GGUGCUUUUGCUCUACACAUUAUCUCAAUAGGCCCUCCUCAAUUGAUCUGCCAAUUAACCAUUCUCUCAUCAAUUGCUGCAACAGGUUUUCUAUCAACAGCAGACAGGGCUAAUGGGGAAAUCUCUACUUCAAAUUCAAUUCACCAAAGGAGAUGUUCUUCCUUGUCACAAGGCAUGGAUUCUCCAAGUAGUAUAGCUUGCAAAUUUUGGGUUUUUAGAUGUUAUAUUUGUUCAUCCAUUACACUGAACUAUUGUAGAAUACAUUGUGAA